rnacentral:rRNA from 1 species
AUUGAACGCUGGCGGCAUGCCUUACACAUGCAAGUCGAACGGCAGCACGGGAGCAAUCCUGGUGGCGAGUGGCGAACGGGUGAGUAAUAUAUCGGAACGUGCCCAGUCGUGGGGGAUAACGUAGCGAAAGCUACGCUAAUACCGCAUACGAUCUAUGGAUGAAAGCGGGGGAUCGCAAGACCUCGCGCGAUUGGAGCGGCCGAUAUCAGAUUAGGUAGUUGGUGAGGUAAAGGCUCACCAAGCCGACGAUCUGUAGCUGGUCUGAGAGGACGACCAGCCACACUGGGACUGAGACACGGCCCAGACUCCUACGGGAGGCAGCAGUGGGGAAUUUUUGGGACAAUGGGCGCAAGCCUGAUCCAGCAAUGCCGCGUGCAGGAUGAAGGCC